rnacentral:rRNA from 1 species
GACGAACGCUGGCGGCGUGCCUAAUACAUGCAAGUCGAACGAACCGCGACUGAGUGCUUGCACUUGGUCAAGGUGAGUGGCGAACGGGUGAGUAACACGUGGGUAACCUACCUCAUAGUGGGGGAUAACAGUCGGAAACGACUGCUAAUACCGCAUAGGACAUGGAAUCACAUGAUUCUGUGAGGAAAGGUGGCGCAAGCUAUCGCUAAGAGAUGGACCCGCGGUGCAUUAGCUAGUUGGUAGGGUAACGGCCUACCAAGGCGAUGAUGCAUAGCCGACCUGAGAGGGUGAUCGGCCACAUUGGGACUGAGACACGGCCCAAACUCCUACGGGAGGCAGCAGUAGGGAAUCUUCCGCAAUGGACGCAAGUCUGACGGAGCAACGCCGCGUGAGUGAAGAAGGCCUUCGGAUCGUAAAGCUCUGUUGUUAGAGAAGAACAGCGCAUAGAGUAAACUGCUAUGCGUGGGACGGAU